UUGAAUCAACAAAUAGACUUCCUCAGUCAUUCAAUCAUACUUGCUCUAUUAUGAGAUUUCUCUAGAAUAAUUUGAAGCUGCUGAGUUAAUUGAAUUCAACAGUAUGCACUCAAUAAUAUAACCUCGAAAAAUGGCAAAAUAUUGAUUACCUGAUUCAAUAUAAAAACAGAAUCCACAAGUGAUGUUCAUGAAAUGAAUUUUGAAAAUUUGUAAAAUUAUUUGCUGUAGGCCAACAUCUGGGGUGGCGAGAAUGGUAUGAGCUAUAGUUAAACUGUCAGAAUCUAUCUUCUGCUGACAGUUUAACAUGAUUCUCACUAAAUAUUCAUAAAUAAAAAUUAAUUUUGAAAAGAUUUAAUGGUGGUUAUAUAUGGAGAUCAGCUCUUGAGCAGUGAAUGUUGAAUGAAUCAAGUAUUGAUGAACGAAUUUUGUUUACUUCUCAUGUAUAUAAUAUAGUGAAUGUACAGACAGCACAUUUUUGUUUUUAAAAUUGAUCAAACUCUUGUAACAAGCCUAUCCAAAAUUGGCAUCCAACGUUAUUGUAGCAGUAUAUAGCCUACUUCUUAUUGUUUGUUAUUAAAUAAUAAAUAUAUUAUCCACAACAUAGAAAUAUCUAAGAUAAAUUGUUCAGCUUUCUAGUAGUUUUUUUGUGCCACGCUGUAGGCUAGAAUGUGUACCAUUUUAUUCUGUCAGCAUUAAUUGGUUUUAUCUAUAAUAAAUGCUGACAAAAUGAGGUGAAUCUUUCACUGUCAACAUUAUUAAUGGAGAGCAUAUCGAUGUUAUCUUCUAUUGCUAACAGGUUAAAAUGAAUAUCACCAUAUUAGAGCGUGGGCAAUUUUAACAAAAGAACAAACCGUUUUGUACUGACAUAGAUAUGAUGUUAGUCUAUAUUAUAGAUUCUAUUGAGAGUUUUGAAUUUGUUUUCAUCAAUUUAUCCCACAUUGUUCCAAGUUAUUUGGUGAGAGCAUUUAUUGUCACAAAAUAAAAAUAAGCAAAUAUAAGAUUGCUCUUCCUGUUGAAAAAUAAACACUACAUAAAGCUCUACUCUAAUUUAUCAGAAUUAUCUUGAUGAAAUGCAGUGAUGUUGCGAGAUCGUAUAUCGUUUGGUCCCUCCUGCACACGGACCUGUCUUAUAGGGGGUUUCCUUAUAUAUUAUUGUACUUUAACUCUCAUUUUUGUAUGUAACAUUCUGGGAAAUGAAUUUUUUGCCACACUGCACAGAAAGCAGCUGUUUUCCAGUCCCUACGUAGAUCUGAAAGACAUUGUUUGCAGACGACUCUCGUCUGACGUCAGAACAAGUUUCUUUCCGGCUAAGGCCGAAAAGAGUACUCUUUCCGGCCGCUUUUUGAAAAUGUGUUUGGACAACUGCGCCAUAUGGUGCAUUGUGUUCAGGAGGGUGAGAUAGGAAUUUUCCACCCCACUUUGAGUACCCUACGACGUCUGGUUCUUGAGAUAUGAGACAUCAAAGUUUCCCCCCCCCCUCAUAAAACAUUCUCAUUCAAUUUAUUAUUCUUAUAUAGCUGAUGCCAGAAAGUUAGGCGGCUUCGUGGGUCACAUGGUGUUACCUACUCACAGCUGAUGCAAUGCAUCUAUCUAUUGCCAAGCUAGAUGACAACAUCAGCUGUUGGAAUGCACAAGAGACCCACGAAACUGCCUAACUUUUUGGCGUCAGCUAUACCUGUAGUGUGGCGAAAAAUAUCGUACGCGACUCUCUCAGAAAGGUGUUUACGGUAUUCGGAUAACAUAUUCCCGGGCUCGGCAAGCCUCGCCCGGGAAACUAUCCUCAUACCGUAAACACUAACUUUCUGUGCUUGUAGCGUAAUAUACUAUAUUUGAUUUGAAUAACGUAAAAAUGUAAUUAAUUUUUGACUUGAGAUACUGUUUUUGGUAAGAUAUAGUGAUAUUUAUUCAUAUUAAAACACAAGAAUAUGUUCAGUUUUGAAUUGUCACACUGAAUAUGACACCGAAGGUGUUGAAACAUGUGUGUUACUUUUUAAUAUAUUUGUGAUAUUUUCAGGCAAUUGAUAUUAUAAUUUUUUUUAAUGUAUGAAUUCAGGGCUACUUUUUUACGUUGCAAUUUGUAUUCUUGUUUUUUAAUAUUUUAUCAAUUUAAAGUGUACUAUAAUUCUAUUUGAUAUUAAAUGUUUUUUUAUUGAAAUUAAUUCAUGUGGAAUACUGAUAGUAUAGAAUCCCAAUAUAGCAUAAAAUCAGUGGACUAGUUUAUAUCAAUGCUUCAUUCUGCAUAAUACAAUAAAUAAUUAAUUAUAUUAUGAGCAUCCAGGUUUCUACUCAAUUCUGUAACUUAUGAUUUAAUUUAUAGAGUCACUGAAAUCUAUGAUUUCUUAUAGGUUCAAUCAAAUGCAUGAUUAUGAUCAUAUUAUAUUCACUCAAAUCUAUGAUUAUAAUCAUAGGUUCAUUCAAAUCAAUGAUUAUAAUCAUAGGUUCACUCAAAUCUAUGAUUAUAAUCAUAGGUUCACUCAAAUCUAUGAUUAUAAUCAUAGGUUCACUCAAAUCUUUAUUCAUAGAUUAUGAUGGAACUCUUGAUUGCCGUAUUUGAAGCCAGUUGAUUGGACAUCACUAAGAUUCCAUUUUCACAAAUAAAAAUAGAUAAAUUUCAACAUCACUGAAAUUCAACAAGCUUAGCAACUAGCCUACAUUUGUUUUAAAAUUAGAAUUUAUAUUAGUUUUAUCAAUUGAAAUUCAUUACUCUGUAGUAGAAUUGAUUAUUCACUAUUUUAAAACUUCAUCAGCUCGAAAUUGUUACUUUUUGAUAGCAUUUAUGUAUGCAAUAUGCACAUUUUGCUUACUCUUGACGGAAUUUUUGCUCUUAACUCUACAAUAAUGUGUUUUCAAUCGAAUUUAUUUUAUUGAAUAGUGGUAGUCAUUACUUCUCUCCAUAAUGCACACAAGUAAUAAUACUUGAUAGAGUAAUAUUUAUUUAGUUAUGUAAAUAAUAAAGUUUUAAAUCUCAAA